CGGGCGGACGGGUGAGUAACACGUGGAUAACCUACCUAUAAGACUGGGAUAACUUCGGGAAACCGGAGCUAAUACCGGAUAAUAUAUUGAACCGCAUGGUUCAAUGGUGAAAGACGGUUUUGCUGUCACUUAUAGAUGGAUCCGCGCCGCAUUAGCUAGUUGGUAAGGUAACGGCUUACCAAGGCAACGAUGCGUAGCCGACCUGAGAGGGUGAUCGGCCACACUGGAACUGAGACACGGUCCAGACUCCUACGGGAGGCAGCAGCG
rnacentral:rRNA from 1 species